AUUAUUUUGACAGAUAAAUGUGAAAGAUUUAGAAUCUUUAUAUGUAAUUUGAGUUACAAAUAAUAAAUGUUAUU
rnacentral:tRNA from 1 species